AGUCGCCGGCUCCCGCGGCCGCGGCCUGGGGGCGGGGAGGGACUGCCGGGGCCGGGGCGCGGGCGCCCCCGCCAAGAGCGGGCCGGGUCACUCAAGCCACUGCCGCGCCAGGGCGGCAGGCCUCGGAGGGUCGGACUCCGUUGCCAUGGCGACCACCAGCCCGGGUUUCUCUGGGACUGGCCGGAGCUCAAGUUUCCCGACCCUUUGUCCCUGCGGAGCACGCGCGUCCCCGGGCGACCGCGUGGCUGGCCUAUGGUCACCGGGGUGUUCGGCCUUAGCUGCCUUAUGAGAGGCUGGGAGCCCGUCGGGAGACUUCAAAGAGGGCUCCGGCAAGCCCCCGGAGCGUCGUUGCCCGGGCCUUUCUCAGGCCGCGCACCCCGGCCGCAGUGCGGACGCUUGCGGCCGCGGCGGUCCCGGGACGGCGGUGGCGCACCUGGAAGGCCCUAGCUUCCGAUUUGUUCCAAAGUGGAGCACAAAAAGGCCCGAUCCUGCGAACUUUGAAAAGGCCUCUCUUCACUCUUUUCUAGAAAUUAAGAAAGAGCAGAAGUUGCUGGGCUUCCUCUGGCUGCGGGCCAAGCGUGGGGCGACGGCCGAGGUGGCCGUUGGCGCACGUGGGGCAUUUCGCUUGGAAAGGCUCAGCAGCCUGUGUGGCGUCUGCGGUGGCAGGUGCGAGCCUGUGCCCAUGACUCACCCACUAGCAGGUGGCCCUGGCUUUCCAAACUAAACACUUCCUGGGGUUUCCAGGGUAGUACAAUUUCAUGUACUUUCAUGCUUUUCAACACAGGCAAUUUUUGAAUUGUAUAAUUAGUCGUAAAAAUACUUUUUAAAUCUAUUGCAUAAAUAGGAAAUAGGGGAACAUAAAACUCAGUUUUACCUCGUAGAGUCAAUUACAUUUAAUAUUUUGGUAUGUUGCCUCCGGUGUUUUCUCUACGUAUAUCCAUGGCAUGUCUGGCAUAAUUGGAAUAAUGCCUUGCGAAGAUGUAUUCUGCCUUCUUCACUUAACACGAUCUUGUGAAUUUUCUUCCAUUUUAUUAGAUAUUCUUUUAAACAUGAUUAUUUAUGGCUGUAUAAAAGGAAUAUAUUUUUUAAAUGUUUUCUAAAUUAUCUUCCAGGAAAACGUAUUAGUUUUCCCUGAGAAAUGCCCAUUUUCCAUAUACUUGACAACACAGACUUUUUUAAAAAAAAAAUUUAGUUUGAAAUGGUUAUUUCUCAUCUUUUGUACUUGCAUUUCUUAGAGUACUAGUUAGCUGGAUUGUUUUUUCACAUGGUUAUUUUUUGCCAGUUUUAUUUUCUCUUGUGAAUUUGUUUAUGUCCAUUUGCCCACUUUUCUAUUUGCCCAUUUUAAAAGUUGGGGAGUUGGUUUAUUGUUUGGGGGGCACUCAUAAAGUACAGGUAUUAAAGACUUGUCAUGUUUGUUGCAGACGUGUUUCCUCGUACUUGUUAACUUUUUUUUUUUUUUUUUUUGAGACAGGGUUUCACUCUGUCACCAGAGCUGGAGUGCAGUAGCACUAUCAUGGCUCACUGAAGCCAGGACUUCCUGAGCUCAAGCAAUCCUCCCACCUCGGCCUCUGAGUAGCUGGGACUACAGGAUCACAUCACCACAUCCAGCUAAUUAUUUUAUUUUAAUGUUUUUCUUCUGUAGAGAUGGGGUCUCACUGUGUUGCCCAGGCUGGUCUCAAACGAUCCUCCCGCCCCAGCCUCCCAAAGUGUUGGGAUUACAGAUGUGAACCACUGCAUCCGGCCUACCUUUUCAGUUGUUGAUGUGAGAAAGUUUUGCUUUAGUCUAUGUGCUGCUGAAGCGAGCAUAAGAAAGUUUUGUUUUAUUUUUAUUUUAUUAUUUAUUUAUUUAUUUAUUUAUUUAUUUAUUUAUUUAUUUUGAGAUGGAGUCUGGCUUGUCUCCCAGGCUGGAGUGUAGAGGGAGGUGUGAUCUCGGUUCACUGCAAGCUCCGUCUCAUAGGUUCUCGCCAUUCUCCUGCCUCAGCCUCCCGAGCAGCUGGGACUACAAGUGCCCGCCACCACGCCCAGCUAUUUUUUUGUAUUUUUAGUAGAGACGGGGUUUCACUGUGUUAGCCAGGAUGGUCUCGAUCCCCUGACCUCGUGAUCUGCCCGCCUUGGCCUCCCAAAGUGCUGGGAUUACAGGCAUGAGCCACCGUGCCCGGCGAGAAAGUUUUGUUUUAAUGUGCCAAAACUUAGCAGUCUUCCUUUAUGGUUUCUGCCUUUAGAGUUAUGUUUAGAGAGGCUACCCGCAACCUAAAACUACAUUGAAUGUCUGCAGUUUUAUCACAGAAAAUAAGUUUUGGUAGCUGGUAGUUUAAGUACUUCCCCUACACAAAGAUUCUGGGUUUUUUUAUUCUUCAUAACUUCUUGGCUAGAAUCACUUCAUUUAUUCUUCCAAACUGACAUGGAGCCGGCACCCCUCUUACAGGCCUGCAGGAAGUGGGGAGGGGGCAAGCAUGGAAAUAAAGGAAAAUCUUGAAUUCCUUCAAGGGAAAUUCCAGGCACCCAGCUAGCAACCUAAUAAACAAGAAGUUACAGUCACAAAAUGUUUGGUUCCCUAUAGAAACUAAAGAUAACAUCUUAAUAUAUGUCCCUGAGUUGCUCUUCAGAAACCUGGGCCCCCCUCCCAAGUGGAUGCCCUGGCCUGCAGACCUCAGACAAGAGGGAACUGAGGACUAAGCUCUGCUGUUCUUUGUUCUAAAUUUCUUCCUGAGGAUCCUGAUGGAAGUUGGACCAGACCUGAACAUUCCUUUCUGCUAACCCCAAGCCUCCAUUAGAGGAAAUGUCUCUUCUCCCAGUCAGGAGUUAACCACCUGCUGUAACUUCCUCUUUAGCAUCGCCAGAGGAAACUAAGUAUGACUGUGCCUUCACUCUGCAGAAAGAAAAUGAGUGGCAAAGGAGUUGCGAAGGGAUUCCUGAGCCUUUAUGCCAGCUGGAAGCUUAAGGCCUUGGUAUUUGAGACUUCACCCUUCAAAAUGUCUUGGAGGAUGGCCCAGCAACCAGCCAAAUGGCCCAAUGGCCUAGCCCAGUGGAGACGGUCUCAGCUUUUGACAAGCUAGCCGGAGAAAGGGCUGGACAGGAAGGGGCCCACUGGACAGCGAAUAUUGAUAGGGCCCCUGGGAGGAUCAAUUUUCCCCUCCAACAGUGCCUGGCUCCCAUUAUCAGAUUAGAUGCAAAGUGGGCUGGCAUGCCAGGGGGUGACAGGAACAGUGUCUCCAGAAAUCCUCUGUGAAGACACCCAAGUAUUGUUCAGAAGUGGCCCUGUAUCUGGAAGAGGGAAAACUGCACCCACUUCUUGCAGACAUACAGUUCCAGCUCCCCCCACAGGACUUGCUCAUACAUCCAACAAAUAUUUAAUCAGUGCCCACCAUCUGCCACUGUGCCAGGUGCCCGGCCUCAUCAUGAGUCAGGCAGAGGUGGUCUGUGCAGUUUUCCCACAAUGUGAGAGGGUGCUGAGAAGACUUUUAACGCUUAUUUAACUACGGAAAUAACUCUUGGUUUGGUACCUACUACAAAAUAAAAACAAGCGCUUGUUGAUAAUUUCUGGAUGGAUGACUGUGGAAAGCUGGAGGAGACUGAGGAUCAAUUUGCUCUAAUGAACCUUCCCUUGACUAUCAUCUCCGUUACCUCCUGCCGCAUCCCUACGGCAAAUAUGCAAGACUCUCACGCAGCUAAUUUCCAGGGGUUUGCAGUCUGGGGAGGAAGCAGAAAGCACAUCCCUCACUGACCCUGAGGAGGGGCAAAUCUCUGGUAGCAGUCACAGGUACGUGCUGUACACACUUCCCAUCCUUUGAGCCUUCCCAGCUGGAGAGCACCAAGAGAACGCAGUUGGGGAGGCCCCGAAAGAUGAAGGGUUGUUGAGCUUGAAGGCAGUGAAAAAGUAAAUGGAAGAAAGCUCUCUGCCCUCCACUGCCUAAAUGCAGGAUAUAGAUUUAGAAGGAUAAAAGGGGUCUGCUCCCUCUCUCGACCAGGGAAAAGUUAACCACUGAAGACAACUUUAGACUCUUAUGGGCCUGGAGCUGGAACCAGAGGAAUGGACAUGAAGGCGCUUUACUAACUCUAUUUAUCUGCCAGUUACUUACCUUUCUACAAGUUCUCCCCUUAGACACUCAAAGUUCUUUUCCUUUGUCCUGUCGCUUCCCUAAAACUUGGCUUUUCUUUGUUGAAGAUGCUAUACAAGCUGGAAUUCAAAGCUACCACUUUGAGAACUACUCAAUUCCUGCGUGUCUCCCAGGCAGAUGUGAAAUACACAUGUUAAUAAACUUCCACUGGUUUUUCUCUUGUUAAUCUGUCUUUUGUAACAGGAGUCCGUUCCAAC
rnacentral:lncRNA from 1 species